AAUAACAGAAGGCCGAACAUUACAUGGUACCAGGACUGGGGUCAGGAAAAGAACUGAUGCAAGAUGGACGCAGUAAAACCACCAACUCCGCUGAAAAUGACGGGGAAUGUGGAUGCGAACUGGCGAACCUUCAAGCAACAAUUUCAGCUCUACAUUGCCGCGGUUGGAGUUGAUCGUCGGGCGGAAGAAAGAAAAAUAGCCCUUUUGCUAACCAUUGCAGGAGCGGAGGCUAUUGAAGUAUUCAACACCUUUGUAUAUAAUGAACCCGACGAUAAAGACAAGUUUGACGAGGUCCUAAAGAAGUUUGAUGAACACUGUCUUUCGAAGAAAAAUGAAACUUACGAGAGAUAUGUAUUUCGUUCUCGUCUCCAACAGCCUGGUGAGUCGUUUGAUAAUUAUCUCACCGAUCUCAAAAUAAAAGCUCAGUCCUGCAACUUUGGUGAUCUAAAAAACUCAAUGAUAAGGGAUCAGAUUGUUUAUGGGACAAAUGAAAAGAAGCUAAGAGAAAAGCUGUUGAGGGAAGCGGAUCUCACACUGGCAAGUGCAAUAAAAAUAUGUCAAGCUAAUGAGCUGGCAAAGCAACAUGCUCUUACUUUUCAAGCGGUGCCAUAUGACCAAGAAAGCGAGUCCGUGAAUGUAGUGAAAAUGAAAGGAAAAUCACAGUUCAAGUUCAAACAAAAAGACAAAAAGAGAGACGAUGAUCAAACACAGUUUGACUGUAAGAAGUGUGGUGAAACGCACAGACCGAGACAAUGCCCUGCAUUUGGAAAAACAUGUGCAAAGUGUAAAAAGCAAAAUCACUAUGCGAAAAUGUGUCAUACCAGAAAAAAAAUACACAUAGUGCAGGAUGACCCAGAUGACAGUGAUGAUUUGAGCGAGACAUUUUUCAUCAAAAUGGUGUCGUAUGAGAAAAGCUACGUACAGCCCCAAAAUGCAAGUGACACAGAGCAUGCUGUACGUGCAGUAAAAGAUGAUAAAUGGACUGCACCCCUGUUAGUCAAUGGGACACUAGUAACCUUCAAAAUUGACACCGGAGCCAAAGCCAACUUGAUCAAUGAAAAUGAUCUGAAAGCUCUUGAAGAGAAACCAAAAAGAGUUGCAGACAAGACAAUGUCAUUAAAAGCAUACAACAAUCAGCCAAUAAAAACUAUGGGUAGUUGUAGGCUCAAAUUGACUGCAAAAGGCAGACAACACCACUUGAUGUUUACAAUAGUGCCAAGUGGACACGAGUCGAUCCUUGGAGACAAAGCAUCUGAAGAUCUUGGACUAGUCAAGAGGAUCUACCAGAUCAACAGUGAUAACAUAAAAAUAGACAAUCAAAUCAAAAUGCUGUCACAAAGCGAAGGUAGUACAAGUAUUGUGAACAAAUACGCGACUGUCUUUAAAGGACAUGGUACACUACCUUACACUUACAAAAUACAGCUCAAGGAAGAUGCUAAACCUGUAGUGCAUGCCCCAAGGAGAGUGCCAGCACCUCUUAAAGCAGGACUUAAAAAGGAACUGAACAGAAUGACACAGAUGGGAGUCAUCGAGCGAGUGGAAGAGCCCACAGACUGGGUAAAUUCCAUCACAUGUGUUAAAAAAAGAAACUCCCCUGAGUUACGUGUCUGCCUAGAUCCUAAAGAUUUGAAUGAAAAUAUUAAAAGAGAACAUUAUCAAAUCCCAAAGAGAGAAGAAAUUCUGAGUGACAUGGCCGGUGCAAAGUACUUCAGCAAAUUAGACGCCUCGCAUGGAUUUUGGCAGCUGAAACUGGACCCAGAAAGCAGCAGGUACACCACCUUUAACACACCAUUUGGGCGUUACUGUUUUCUGAGGCUUCCAUUUGGCAUCAAGUCAGCGCCAGAGAUCUUUCACAGAGCUAUGGAGUCAAUCAUAGAGGGUCUGGAAGGAACACGAGUGUACAUUGAUGACAUAGUUGUCUGGGGAAACACAAAACAACAACAUGAUGAGAGACUUGAGAAGCUGUUACAGAGAGUGAAAAA
ensembl:lncRNA